AGUAUCUGAAUUUGGGGAGAACAUAAGUCCAUGACACAUGUGUACAAAACUUUCAUUGGCUAUACAGGAAGCAUGAUGCUAACAUCUGCUCCGUUUCUGGGGAGGCCUCAGAAAACUCACUGUCAUGGUGGAAGGCCAAGGGGGAGCAGGUAUGUUACAUGGCCAGAGCAGGAGCAAGCAAGAGAGGGAGAAGGUGCUAUGGACUUUUAAAUGACCAGAACUCACACACACAGUGAUAUUAGUGUCAUAAUAAUAAUAUAUAACAACAUACAACAGAGCAACCAACAAGCUUAACACCUGAGAAAAGAUAGGUGCCUCCCAGAAGUAACAAACAUGAGUACUUGAUUACCUAGGGCACACAUAGCACAGACCAAGAUAUAAUCGCCUUGAAAGUGGAUGAAAAGAAUGCAGCUGAAACAUUUAUCAAAUUAUUGGAGGCCAAAUGUGAACACUAGUGAAGAUCAACUGUGGUUGGAGAAAUGAAGAACAGCAAAACUCUAACCCCGGGACAAAGUAAGACCAUUUAAAGGGACCAAAAAUGGAUGAACAUACUUGGCACUAUGAACUAAAAGAUCUUUGGCUAAAGAAGAGAUGAAGACUCAUUCAACUCCUACAAGUGAAUUAAGGAGCUCUGAGAAGGCAAAGCCAGCCCAGGAGGGUGGACACACUAAGAACAAUGUGCCUUGUCCUGAUACACAGUUGUGGUAUAGGUAACAAAAUCUGAGUAUCCAACCUAAGAUGUUACCCCUCACCUCACCAGAAUACCUCCAAUCCCUUCCCUGGAAACACAGAAUAAAUUCCUAUAGAAAGUUAUAAAGCAGAAAAACAA
ensembl:lncRNA LINC02546 long intergenic non-protein coding RNA 2546